UACGUAGGUGGCAAGCGUUGUCCGGAUUUACUGGGCGUAAAGAGCGCGCAGGCGGUCGUUCAAGUCGCGUGUGAAAGCCCCCGGCUCAACUGGGGAGGGUCAUUCGAUACUGAUCGACUCGAAGGCAGGAGAGGGUAGUGGAAUUCCCGGUGUAGUGGUGAAAUGCGUAGAUAUCAGGAGGAACACCGGUGGCGAAGGCGGGUCUCUGGGCCGAAAUUGACGCUGAGGAGCGAAAGCGUGGGGAGCAAACAGG
rnacentral:rRNA from 1 species